GACGAACCGAGCGAACGUUAUUCGGAAUCACUGGGCUUAAAGGGCGCGUAGGCGGAUCGUCAAGUCAGGGGUGAAAGCCCGCGGCUCAACCGCGGAAGUGCCUUUGAUACUGGCGGUCUUGAGGGAGGUAGGGGCGUGCGGAACUUCCGGUGGAGCGGUGAAAUGCGUAGAUAUCGGAAGGAACACCGGUGGCGAAAGCGGCGCGCUGGACCUCUUCUGACGCUGAGGCGCGAAAGCCAGGGGAGCGAACGGG
rnacentral:rRNA from 1 species